AGGAGGGAGCUGCCUAAGGCAAAACCAAUGACUGGGGUGAAGUCGUAACAAGGUAGCCGUAUCGGAAGGUGCGGCUGGAUCACCUCCUUUCUAAGGAA
rnacentral:rRNA from 1 species